CUGAAUAAGAUUGGUGGAUUCUAUUAAUAUCAUUAUCCUGAUUGUGAUAUUGUACUGUCGUUCUGCAAGAUGUUAUCACUGGGGGAAUGGUACAAGAUCUGUUUGUAUUAUUUCUUACAAAUGCAUGCAAUUUGAUUUAUUUUUUUUUUAAGAAAGAAAAGAAAAAAGAACAGAACAGAGUAUCAGAAGACUGUGAGAUAACAUCAAUGAUCUAACAUAAAUGACGCCCACCCCACCCACUAGCUGGCAUCACUGUGUCAACAUUGUGAUUAAGGAGAUUAAAACCUCUGCUGGGUUAACAAGGUGCUCACGGUCACUGAGCCCACUGAAGACCAGAAUCAUUCAUGCACAUAUUUACUGAGCACCUACUGUGUGCCUGAUGGUGUUCUGGGCCUGAGAUACAACAGAGAGGAAAACAACUGUUCACUUUGCUGAGCACAGCGCGGGGCACGGCUCAACUCAUCAGAGGCUGACGGCAGCCAGUGGGGCUGCAGUAGGGGAUGUGGAGGAGCUGGACCGUGCUGGGGAGCUGGUGCUCCAUCCUCACCUG